rnacentral:rRNA from 1 species
UACGAAGGAUGCAAGCGUUAUCCGGAUUUAUUGGGUUUAAAGGGUGCGUAGGCGGACUUAUAAGUCAGUGGUGAAAUCUCGUUGCUUAACAACGAACGUGCCAUUGAUACUGUAGGUCUUGAGUACAGAUGCCGUUGGCGGAAUGUGUCAUGUAGCGGUGAAAUGCAUAGAUAUGACACAGAAACACCGAUUGCGAAGGCAGCUGACGAAACUGUAACUGACGCUGAGGCACGAAAGCGUGGGGAUCAAACAGGAUU